UGCGUAGGCGGUCUUUCAAGUCAGGAGUGAAAGGCUACGGCUCAACCGUAGUAAGCUCUUGAAACUGUAAGACUUGAGUGCAGGAGAGGAGAGUGGAAUUCCUAGUGUAGCGGUGAAAUGCGUAGAUAUUAGGAGGAACACCAGUUGCGAAGGCGGCUCUCUGGACUGUAGCUGACGCUGAGGCACGAAAGCGUGGGGAGCAAACA
rnacentral:rRNA from 1 species